rnacentral:rRNA from 1 species
AGGGUAAUGAGGCGAACCGGGUGAACUGAAACAUCUCAGUAGCUCGAGGAAAAGACAUCAACCGAGAUUCCGAAAGUAGUGGCGAGCGAAAUCGGAGUAGCCCUCGCGUUUUAGCAGUUUGCAUAUCAGAACGGAAUGGAAAGUCCGGCCAUAGCGGGUGAUAGCCCCGUAUGAGAAAUGUAGAUUGUGGAACUAGGCGCGAAUAGAGUAGGGCGGGACACGUGAAAUCCUGUCUGAAUAUGGGGGGACCAUCCUCCAAGGCUAAAUACUCGUAAUCGACCGAUAGUGAACAAGUACCGUGAGGGAAAGGUGAAAAGCACCCCGACAAGGGGAGUGAAACAGAUCCUGAAAUCGGAAGCCUACAAGCAGUCGGAGCCCCCAAGCGGGGUGACGGCGUACCUUUUGUAUAAUGGGUCAGCGACUUCAUGUGUCGAGCAAGCUUAAGCCGUUAGGUGUAGGCGCAGCGAAAGCGAGUCUGAAUAGGGCGAUUCAGUCGCAUGUCCUAGACCCGAAGCGAAGUGAUCUAUCCAUGGCCAGGUUGAAGCGCGUGUAAGAGCGCGUGGAGGACCGAACCCACUUAGGUUGAAAACUGAGGGGAUGAGCUGUGGAUAGGGGUGAAAGGCCAAUCAAACCUGGACAUAGCUGGUUCUCCGCGAAAUCUAUUUAGGUAGAGCGUCCGACGAAUUCCUUGGGGGGUAGAGCACUGGAUGGUUGCGGGCUGCGCGAGCGGUACCAAUACUAACCAAACUCCGAAUACCCAAGAGAACUAUCGGGCAGACACACGGCGGGUGCUAACGUCCGUCGUGAAGAGGGAAACAACCCAGACCAUCAGCUAAGGUCCCCAAGUACUGGCUAAGUGGGAAACGAUGUGGGAUUGCUUUGACAAUCAGGAGGUUGGCUUAGAAGCAGCCAUCCUUUAAAGAAAGCGUAACAGCUCACUGAUCAAGCGAUCCUGCGCGGAAAAUGUAACGGGACUAAACAUGGUACCGAAGCUACGGGUACAUUUAUGUACGUUAGAGGAGCGUUCUAAGGGCGAUGAAGCUAGACCGUGAGGACUGGUGGAGCGCUUAGAAGUGAGAAUGCCGGUAUGAGUAACGAUUCAAGGUGAGAAUCCUUGACGCCUAUUGGGGAAGGUUUCCUGGGGAAGGUUCGUCCACCCAGGGUUAGUCGGGACCUAAGGCCAGGCCGAAAGGCGUAGUCGAUGGACAACAGGUUAAUAUUCCUGUACUAAUCUAUAGAAUGAUGGAGUGACGGAAAAUGAUAGUAGGGACCCCUUAUUGGAUUGGGGUGUAAGCACUAAAGAUGAUGUGUAGGCAAAUCCGCACAUGGAAUUCUAGGUGUUAUGCAUAGGGAACAUUUUACAAGUACUGAAUCAUAUGAUUUAUUUUUCCAAGAAAAGCUUCUAGUUUAUCUAUAGAUACCCGUACCGAGAACGGACACACGUCCCCAAGAUGAGUAUUCUAAGGCGAGCGAGACAACUAAUGUUAAGGAACUCUGCAAAAUAACUCCGUAACUUCGGAAGAAGGAGUGCUCUUUUGUAAUGAAAGAGCCGCAGUAAAAUGAGAGGGGCAACUGUUUACCAAAAACACAGCUAUCUGCUAAGUCGUAAGACGAUGUAUAGGUGGUGACGCCUGCCCAGUGCCCGAAGGUUAAGUUGAUGUGUUAGCUUUGCGAAGCAUUGAUAUGAAGCCCGGGUGAACGGCGGCCGUAACUAUAACGGUCCUAAGGUAGCGAAAUUCCUUGUCACCUAAUUAGUGACCUGCACGAAAGGCGUAAUGAUCUCUCUACUGUCUCAACAUUAGACUCGGUGAAAUUAUGGUCCCAGGGAAAGCGCUGGGUACCCGCAUCAAGACGAAAAGACCCCGUGGAGCUUUACUAUAGCUUCGUAUUGAAAAUUGAUUUAACACGUGUAGGAUAGGUGGGAGAUGAUGAUAUUUGGACGCUAGUUCAAAAGGAGUCAACCUUGAAAUACCACCCUUGUUACAUUGGUUUUCUAACUUGCUACCAUUAUCUGGUAGGAGGACAGUGCGUGGUGGGUAGUUUGACUGGGGCGGUCGCCUCCCAAAGUGUAACGGAGGCGCGCGAUGGUGAGCUCAGAGCGGUCGGAAAUCGCUCGUCGAGUGCAAUGGCAUAAGCUCGCCUGACUGCGAGACUGACAAGUCGAGCAGAGACGAAAGUCGGCCAUAGUGAUCCGGUGGUCCCGAGUGGAAGGGCCAUCGCUCAACGGAUAAAAGGUACUCUAGGGAUAACAGGCUGAUUUUGCCCAAGAGUCCAUAUCGACGGCAUGGUUUGGCACCUCG